rnacentral:sRNA from 1 species
GUUUCCAAGAGGGAAGCAGGAGGCUGGCUUCACUUGGUUCCCAGACAUCUCAUGAGUGCCGGCUGCCUGCCCAGCCCUCUGCCUGGUGCUGGGAGGCAGGUGUCUCCGCACUUGAGCAGAUGCCGGGAGGCAACGUGGAGAGCUCUGCGAGAGGCUUGGAAAGAGGGUGAGGCCAGAGGAUGGAGCAGGAGAGGGAAGGCUUCUCUGAGGAGGUGACAUUUCAGAUCCAGGAGAUGGUCCACUCGGAAGUGGCUGCCUAUGACUCGGGCCGGCCCGGGCCCCUGCUGGGUCGCCCGGCAAUGCUGGCCAGCCACAUGAGUGCCCUCAGCCAGUCCCAGCUCAUCUCACAGAUGGGCAUCCGGAGCAGCAUCGCCCACAGCUCCCCAUCACCGCCGGGGAGCAAGUCAGCGACCCCCUCUCCCUCCAGCUCCACUCAGGAAGAGGAGUCGGAAGUGCAUUUCAAGAUCUCGGGAGAAAAGAGACCUUCAGCCGACCCAGGAAAAAAGGCCAAGAACCCGAAGAAGAAGAAAAAGAAGGACCCCAAUGAGCCGCAGAAGCCUGUGUCGGCCUACGCACUCUUCUUCAGAGACACUCAGGCCGCCAUCAAGGGUCAGAACCCCAGUGCCACUUUUGGUGACGUGUCCAAAAUCGUGGCCUCCAUGUGGGACAGCCUGGGAGAGGAACAGAAGCAGGCCUACAAGAGGAAGACAGAAGCAGCAAAGAAGGAAUAUCUGAAGGCCCUGGCAGCCUACCGGGCUAGCCUCGUCUCCAAGAGCUCCCCAGAUCAAGGUGAGACCAAGAGCACUCAGGCAAACCCACCAGCCAAAAUGCUCCCACCCAAGCAGCCCAUGUAUGCCAUGCCAGGCCUGGCCUCCUUCCUGACGCCGUCGGACCUGCAGGCCUUCCGCAGUGGGGCCUCCCCGGCCAGCCUCGCCCGGACCCUGGGCUCCAAGUCUCUGCUGCCAGGCCUCAGUGCAUCCCCGCCGCCGCCACCCUCCUUCCCGCUCAGCCCCACACUGCACCAGCAGCUGUCACUGCCCCCUCACGCCCAGGGCACCCUCCUCAGUCCACCUGUUAGCAUGUCCCCAGCCCCCCAGCCCCCUGUCCUGCCCACCCCCAUGGCACUCCAGGUGCAGCUGGCGAUGAGCCCCUCACCUCCAGGGCCACAGGACUUCCCGCACAUCUCUGAGUUCCCCAGCAGCUCGGGAUCCUGCUCACCUGGCCCAUCCAACCCCACCAGCAGCGGGGACUGGGACAGCAGCUACCCCAGUGGGGAGUGUGGCAUCAGCACCUGCAGCCUGCUCCCCAGGGACAAAUCGCUCUACCUCACCUAAUCCCGCCUCCCCACCAUCCCUGAGGCUCGCUGGAAGGCACUGCUCAGAGCCUGAAGGGCUGACAGCAGAAAAGAGGCCCUGGCCAGAGGCAGGGUGGCCCAUCGGAGAGAGCAGUGACACACCCAUUGCCUGGGGGCUGAGUCUCUUCCUCAACCUCCCACCAGACUCUGCAGAGGCAGCCCACUGCCCGCCACCAGCCCAAAGAACCUGCAGGAACCUUCUGCCCGCUGACCUGCUUGCUCCAGGGUAACUGUGGACCCUGUCCUCGCCCUGCGCACGGUUCCCUAUGUCUGGACACCCGGCCCCAGCUCCAGCCCCAGCCCACGUGGGCUGUCCCUGGCGGGGUCGCUUACCAACGGACACCCACCCCAGAUGCAUGGGCCAGAGGGCCGGCCCCCGGCACAGACGUGCACAUCGGUUUUCCAGUGUGAACAAAAGAUUACGAAACCUAGAAACUGUUGGUUCCGUGUAAGUAGUUGACUACGUGUUUUAGAACUGUGCUGAAGACAUCUGUAAGACUAUUUUGUGGGGAAAAAAGUAGUUUCCUUUAAGGUAAAAAGCAUUUUAUAUGAUCCUUAGCACAUUUUUAAGUUUUAUCUUAAGGGAGACGUGCACAAAAGCGGCUGCCAAACCGUUUUGUCAUCCUCACAGCAAGGACCGGACGCUUGCGAGCCACCCCGGAGCACUGCUCUCCUUUUAAUCAUGUAUUCAUCUAUUUUAAAUUGCCGGCGACGACUUUUGUCUAUUUAUGAAGAAACCUUGAGAACAAAGUUACAGCUUAUCCUACCGUGUGCGUGGUUUUGGGGUUUCGUUUGGGUUUGGGUUCUUGACGUCGUUUGCAGCUGUUUCCUGGCCCUGGCAAGUGUCUGUCUUGGUGCCCAGUGCUUCUCUCAAAUCUCUUUAUAAUAAAACUUCUGAAAAGCUG